GUUGAUGCAAGACUACUUCGCGGAGAAUCCAACAUAUCCAUCGCACCUCUUCCGGAGAAGGUACCGAAUGCGUCGAUCCCUCUUUGUGAAAAUGUUCAAGCUUGCGAGGCAAAUUGUCGGUAUUUUACUCAAAGAAGAAAUGUUGCGGGCUUGAAGGGAUUUAGUGCAUAUCAAAAAAUCUCGGCAUCUAUGCGGGUGAUUGCAUAUGGCGUUCCGGCUAACUAUGCCGAUGAGUACCUUCGCAUUGGUGAAGAUACCACAAUUGAGUCAGUGCGUAGAUUUGCCAAAGUGGUCAUUCGUGUCUUUGGUCCUAAAUAUCUUCAGGCACCCAACGAGGAUGACACAAAGAAACUGAUGGCAUCUAAUGAGAGGAGAGGUUGGCCUGGCAUGCUAGGUAAGAUUGUAUUGUGGCAAGUCUCG
rnacentral:rRNA from 1 species